AUGGUGAAGGUCAAUGUGAACGGAUUUGGCUAUAUUGGGCGCCUGGUUACCAGGGCUGCCGUCUGCUCUCCACAUAGCAAAGUGGAGAUUGUUGCCAUCAAUGAUCCCUUCAUUGACCUCAACUACAUGGUCUCCAUGUUCCAGUAUGACUCCCCCCAUGGUAAAUUCAACAGCACAGUCAAGGCUGAGAAUGGGAAGCUUGUCAUCAACGGGAAGCCCAUCACCAUCUUCCAGGAGCGAGACGCUGCUAACAUCAAAUGGGGUGAUGCCGGUGCUGAGUAUGUCGGGGAGUCUACUGGCCUCUUUACCACCAUGGAGAAGGCCGGGGCCCACUUGAACGGUGGAGCCAAAAGGGUCAUCAUCUCUGCCCCUUCUCCAAAUAAACCCUUUCCUCCCCAACUGCUUCUUGGUCAUGAUGUUUGUGCAGGAAUAGAAACCCUGACUAAGACAGCUACCCUGGCCAAGGUCAUCCAUGACAACUUUGGCAUCGUGGAAGGGCUCAUGACCAUCACUGCCACUCAGAAGACUGUGGAUGGCCCCUCUAGAAAGCUGUGGCAUGAUGGCCGUGGGGCUGCCCAGAACACCAUCCCUGCAUUUACUGGUGCUGCCAAGGCUGUGGGCAAGGUCAUUCCAGAGCUGAACGGGAAGCUUACUGGCAUGGUCUUCUAUGUUCCUACCCACAAUAUGUCCGUCGUGGUUCUGACAUGCCACCUGGAGAAACCUGCCAAGUAUGACGACAUCAAGAAGGUGGUGAAGCAGGCAUCUGAGGGCCCACUGAAGGGCAUCCUGGGCUACACUGAGGACCAGGUUGUCUCUUGCAACUUCAACAGCAACUCCCACUCUUCCACCUUCGAUGCCGGGGCUGGCAUUGCUCUCAAUUACAACUUUGUCAAGCUUAUUUCCUGGUAUGACAAUGAAUACGACUACAGCAACAGGGUGGUGGACCUCAUGGCCUACAUGGCCUCUAAGGAGUAAGAAAUCCUGGACCACCCACCCCAGCAAGGACACUGAGAGCAAGAGAGAGGCCCUCAGUUGCUGAGGAGUCCCUAUCCCAACUCGGCCCCCAACACUGAGCACCUCCCUCACAAUUUCCACCCCAGACCCCCAUAAUAACAGGAAGGGGCUAGGGAGCCCUCCCUACUCUCUUGAAUACCAUCAAUAAAGUUCACUGCACCAAACA